CCGAUGUAGCUCAGUUGGUAGAGCAACUCAUUCGUAAUGAGUAGGUCGUGGGUUCGAGCCCCGUCAUCGG
rnacentral:tRNA from 1 species